UAUACAUAGCAAGUGUUUGGC
rnacentral:piRNA from 1 species